rnacentral:rRNA from 1 species
UACAGAGGGUGCAAGCGUUAAUCGGAAUUACUGGGCGUAAAGCGUGCGUAGACGGUUGCGUAAGUCAGAUGUGAAAGCCCCGGGCUCAACCUGGGAAUUGCAUUUGAGACUGCGUAGCUAGGGUGCGGAAGAGGGAAGCGGAAUUUCCGGUGUAGCGGUGAAAUGCGUAGAUAUCAGGAAGAACACCCGUGGCGAAGGCGGCUCUCUGGGACGGUACUGACGCUGAGACGCGAAAGCGUGGGGAGCGAACAGG